GGUUUAGAGAAGGAGGAGGUUGUAGAUGGUUUAGAGAAGGAGGAGGAUGUUGUAGAUGGAUUAGAGAAGGAGGAGGAGGUUGUAGAUGGUUUAGAGAAGGAGGAGGAGGUUGUAGAUGGUUUAUAGAAGGAGGAGGAUGUUGUAGAUGGAUUAGAGAAGGAGGAGGUUGUAGAUGGUUUAUAGAAGGAGGAGGUUGUAGAUGGUUUAUAGAAGAAGGAGGUUGUUGUAGAUGGUUUAUAGGAGGAGGAGGUUGUAGAUGGUUUAUAGAAGGAGGUUGUAGGUGGUUUAUAGGAGGAGGAGGUUG